rnacentral:SRP_RNA from 1 species
GCCAGGUAUGGUGGCGCAUGCCUGUAAUCCCAGCACUUUGGGAGGCUGAGGCGGGUGGAUCACUUGAGGUCAGGAGUUCAAGACCAGCCUGGCCAAUAUGGUGAAACCCCGUCUCUA